rnacentral:tRNA from 2 species
GGAGGGGUGUCCGAGUGGUCGAAGGUGCCUGAUUCGAAAUCAGGUAGGCGAAAGCCUCGGGAGUUCGAAUCUCCCCCCCUCCG